GGAAUGGCUGUGACGAGGAGGAGUACAUAUAUCAGAGACUCUGUAGAGAGAGAACGGAUGGUGAAAGUUCUUGUGUCUUGUAUAUGGAAGUAGCCUUUGAGCUUUGGACUGAAAGCGGAAUUUAUUUUGUGUGCAAGUAGGCUUCAACGGAUUUUUCCAACGUUAUAUGGAAAACGAUAUAAAAGAUAUGUGUUUUAUAGAUUUAUAAAACUAUAGUCUGAGUAUCGGCAGAGUGCAGAUUUCAUCUGAAAUUAGGUGGUACCACGAAAAUAUUCGCCCUAAAU
rnacentral:ncRNA from 1 species